CCUACGGGUGGCAGCAGUAGGGAAUUUUCGUCAAUGGGCGCAAGCCUGAACGAGCAAUGCCGCGUGAACGAGGAAGGUCUUCGGAUCGUAAAGUUCUGUUGAAGGGGAAAAAGAGCGGAGAGAGGAAAUGAACUCCGAUUGAUAUUACCCUUCGAGGAAGUCACGGCUAACUACGUGCCAGCAGCCGCGGUAAUACGUAGGUGGCAAGCGUUAUCCGGAAUUAUUGGGCGUAAAGAGGGAGCAGGCGGCAGCAAAGGUCUGUGGUGAAAGACUGAAGCUUAACUUCAGUAAGCCAUAGAAACCGGGCAGCUAGAGUGCAGGAGAGGAUCGUGGAAUUCCAUGUGUAGCGGUGAAAUGCGUAGAUAUAUGGAGGAACACCAGUGGCGAAGGCGACGAUCUGGCCUGCAACUGACGCUCAGUCCCGAAAGCGUGGGGAGCAAAUAGGAUUAGAUACCCGGGUAGUC
rnacentral:rRNA from 1 species